AUACUGGGAUCGAUGGGCACGGGAUAAAACCACAGAUGUAUUUUAAGAAGAGAAUGUUUACUGUCUCUUUAGCCUGAAGGUAGGAAUGGGUAGGAAAACAUUAAUCGCCUAAGUUUUGUGGAUUUGUUUACAAUUUCUACGAAAAGCAAAUGCAUUUUGAUGAUCAUAUCUUUGCAGUAUCAGUGCGUGCAGCAAAACAUGGAAAGGCUUUGGAUGUUGCAGCAGGACUUGCAUGGAGCUAUCAACAUUUGUAGUUAAAAAGGCAGGUGCAAAUUAGACAACUUAUCUUGGGGAGCUACUGAAGAUCUGAUCAUGUCAGAGUAAUGUCAAAGUGCUUACAGUGCAGGUAGUGAUAUAAGAACCUACUGCAGUGAAGGCACUUGUAGCAUUAUAUUGACAAGUGCCACUGGAUAUCUUGCAGAACUACAGAAAUUUUCAAGGUACAAUGUGGUAUUAAGUGCUUUUUGUUCUAAGGUGCAUCUAGUGCAGAUAGUGAAGUAGAUUAGCAUCUACUGCCCUAAGUGCUCCUUCUGGCAUAAGAAGUUAUAUCUUCAUCCAGUCACUCUGAUUGAUUGAGAAUAUAGAUGUUCCAAUAGCUGCUCAGCAGUCCUCUGUUAGUUUUGCAUAGUUGCACUACAAGAAGAAUGUAGUUGUGCAAAUCUAUGCAAAACUGAUGGUGGCCUGUUAUUGUCUACAUCAAGAAAGUGAAUGUGUUUUACUGCUUGUUUAUGUAUUUUGGUGGUCUUGCUUUCAUAGCAGUUCCUUCAGUUUAGUAAAUGACAGCUCCUGUGGUACUAAAGUGCUUAUAGUGCAGGUAGUGUUCAGUAAUCUACUGCAUUAUGAGCACUUAAAGUACUGCUAGCUGUAGAACUACAACUUCAGCAUGCCUUCCUAUCAGACUAACUUGUUUUGUUUAAUUGAACACUGUUCUCUGGUUAGUUUUGCAGGUUUGCAUCCAGCUGUAUGAUACUCUGCUGUGCAAAUCCAUGCAAAACUGACUGUGGCAGUGACAAGUCAGUGAAUAAGUGAGGAAAGUUGUACCCCUUUCUACACAGGUUGGGAUCAGUUGCAAUGCUGUGUGUGCCUAUAGUAUUGCACUUGUCCCGGCCUGUUGAGGUUGGUGGGGACACAGGCUGCAACAUCUUCAGUAGUUUAUUUUAGGAAGUUACACUGCAUUUUUCCAGAAAAUCUGAAUACCUAGUAACUUGUUUUCUGAACUGUUCCAUGUAAACUAAUGUAUGGCUGGACAUCAAAUGCUACAGACAUUUCUGUAUUUGUAAAUUGUCUUAUUGUGUACUUACUAAAUUAAUGUGUA